rnacentral:rRNA from 1 species
GACGAACGCUGGCGGCGUGCCUAAUACAUGCAAGUCGAACGCAGUGGGGACGGGUGAGUAACAAGUGGGUAACCUCCCAUCAGAGGGGAUAACACUUGGAAACAGGUGCUAAACCGAUACUGAUGGAUGGACCCGCGGUGAAUUAGCUAGUUGGGGAGGUAACGGCCCACCAAGGCCCCGAUCCGUAGCUGGUUGGAGAGGACGACCAGCCACACUGGGACUGAGACACGGCCCAGACUCCUACGGGAGGCAGCAGUGGGGAAUUUUGGACAAUGGGGGAAACCCUGAUCCAGCCAUCCCGCGUGUGCGAUGAAGGCCUUCGGGUUGUAAAGCACUGUUGGCAGGAAAGCGGUACCUGCAGAAUAAGCACCGGCUAACUACGUGCCAGCAGCCGCGGUAAUUC